rnacentral:rRNA from 1 species
UUGCUAUCUGUGGUUUGCGAACUUCUCUUAGAGUCGUGUUGCUUGAUAGUGCAGCACUAAGUGGGUGGUAAACUCCAUCUAAGGCUAAAUAUAACCACGAGACCGAUAGAGAACAAGUACCGUGAGGGAAAGUUGAAAAGAACUCUGAAUAGAGAGUUAAAAAGUACGUGAAACCGUAUAGGGGUUAAGCCCGUUGAAUCUAAAUAUCCGAUGGAUGAAAUUCAGUAUUGUUGAUUGUUGACUUUUGCUUGAUGGUCAUACAGUAUGCACUUUUCAUCUAGUAGGACACUGCAAUCUGUUAGAUUAAAUGUAAUUAUUACCCAUUACAUUUGAACCUAUCAAUAGAAUUCGUAUAGAUUGUUUAUCUGCUAUAGUACUAAUAAUACUGUGCGAUAAGUCUAUUUAGGAUUCUGAUAGUGUUUGACUGACAGAUUUUAUGAAAAUCAUGUAACAUGCAUAUGUAAUUG